AAGAAGGUCUCACCCUUCCUCAUCGCAGGU
rnacentral:piRNA from 2 species